rnacentral:rRNA from 1 species
AGUGGCGAACGGGUGAGUAACGCGUGGGCAAUCUGCCCUUCAGAUGGGGACAACAUCCCGAAAGGGGUGCUAAUACCGAAUACGAUCAUUCCACCGCAUGGAGGAAGGAUGAAAGAUGGCCUCUAUUUAUAAGCUAUCGCUGAAGGAUGAGCCUGCGUCUGAUUAGCUAGUUGGUGGGGUAACGGCCUACCAAGGCGAUGAUCAGUAGCCGGUCUGAGAGGAUGAACGGCCACAUUGGGACUGAGACACGGCCCAAACUCCUACGGGAGGCAGCAGUGGGGAAUAUUCCGCAAUGGACGAAAGUCUGACGGAGCAACGCCGCGUGAGUGAUGAAGGUUUUCGGACUGUAAAGCUCUGUUGUUUAGGACGAAAGUGCCUGCUGCGAACAGUUGCAGGUAUUGACGGUACUGAACGAGGAAGCCACGGCUAACUACGUGCCAGCAGCCGCGGUAAUACGUAGGUGGCAAGCGUUGUCCGGAAUUAUUGGGCGUAAAGAGCAUGUAGGCGGGAAUCUAAGUCUGCUGUGAAAAUGCGGGGCUCAACCCCGUAUGGCGAUGGAAACUGGAUUUCUUGAGUGCAGGAGAGGAAAGGGGAAUUCCCAGUGUAGCGGUGAAAUGCGUAGAUAUUGGGAGGAACACCAGUGGCGAAGGCGCCUUUCUGGACUGUGUCUGACGCUGAGAUGCGAAAGCCAGGGGAGCGAACGGGAUUAGAUACCCCGGUAGUCCUGGCCGUAACGAUGGGUACUAGGUGUAGG